rnacentral:rRNA from 1 species
AUGAACGCUAGCUACAGGCUUAACACAUGCAAGUCGAGGGGAAACGAUAUUGGAAGCUUGCUUCUGAUAGGCGUCGACCGGCGCACGGGUGAGUAACGCGUAUCCAACCUGCCCAUCACUUGGGGAUAACCUUGUGAAAGUAAGACUGAUACCCAAUGACGUCUCUAGAAGACAUCUGAAAGAGAUUAAAGAUUUAUCGGUGAUGGAUGGGGAUGCGUCUGAUUAGCUUGUUGGCGGGGUAACGGCCCACCAAGGCGACGAUCAGUAGGGGUUCUGAGAGGAAGGUCCCCCACAUUGGAACUGAGACACGGUCCAAACUCCUACGGGAGGCAGCAGUGAGGAAUAUUGGUCAAUGGACGAGAGUCUGAACCAGCCAAGUAGCGUGCAGGAUGACGGCCCUAUGGGUUGUAAACUGCUUUUAUAAGGGAAUAAAGUGGGAGUCGUGACUCUUUUUGCAUGUACCUUAUGAAUAAGGACCGGCUAAUUCCGUG